AAAUUCGUGUUAGCUCACUUGGGGAAAUGGAAGUGAAAACUGGAAAGCGAAUUGUGAAAGAAGUUCUGACGACCCGUUCCCGUUGGCAUGGCGACGGCGUCUGAAAAGAACGGCUCUCCCUCUCUGCUCGUGCGCCCGCCCCGGCGACGGCUCCCCGGCGGGCGUCGAGUCCUCCCAGCGGCUGGCGGGCCCUCCCGGCAGCGAGUUCCGUGAGAUGGAUUCGGGUCGAAAUCGAGGUGCGUUCAGGAGGAGCAGAAGCACUAUGCAAUCGAGGUACUUAACUGUCAGGUGAAACCAGUUAUGUACCAGCUGACAAUGGAUUUCAUGGCAUUGUUCUACCAGCUGAAAAUGGAGACAUGUAGCGCAGUGUGUACUU